rnacentral:rRNA from 1 species
UUCCGGUUGAUCCUGCCGGACCUGACUGCUAUCGGAUUGGUACUAAGCCAUGCGAGUCGUUGUAGCAAUACAAGGCGGACGGCUCAGUAACACGUAGUCAACCUAACCUAUGGACGUGGAUAACCUCGGGAAACUGAGAAUAAACCGCGAUAGAUCAUUAUGCCUGGAAUGGCUUAUGGUCCAAACAAUUUAUUGCCGUAGGAUGGGACUGCGGCCUAUCAGCUUGUUGGUGAGGUAAUGGCCCACCAAGGCUAUAACAGGUACGGGCUCUGAGAGGAGAAGCCCGGAGAUGGGUACUGAGACACGGACCCAGGCCCUAUGGGGCGCAGCAGGCGAGAAACCUUAGCAAUGUGCGAAAGCACGACUAGGUUAAUCCGAGUGAUUUCUGUUGAAGAAAUCUUUUGUCAGUCGUAAAACCACAGACGAAUAAGGGGUGGGCAAGUCUGGUGUCAGCCGCCGCGGUAAUACCAGCACCUCGAGUGGUCAGGAGGUUUAUUGGGCCUAAAGCAUCCGUAGCCGGCUUUGCAAGUCUCCGGUUAAAUCCAGCUGCUUAACAGAUGGGCUGCCGGAGAUACUACAAAGCUAGGGAGCGGGAGAGGUAGACGGUAUUCGGUGGGUAGGGGUAAAAUCCACUGAUCCAUCGAGGACCACCAGUGGCGAAGGCGGUCUACCAGAACGCGUUCGACGGUGAGGGAUGAAAGCUGGGGGAGCAAACCGGAUUAGAUACCCGGGUAGUCCCAGCUGUAAACGAUGCAAACUCGGUGAUGCAUUGGCUUAUGGCCAAUGCAGUGCCGCAGGGAAGCCGUUAAGUUUGCCGCCUGGGAAGUACGGACGCAAGUCUGAAACUUAAAGGAAUUGGCGGGGGAGCACCACAAGGGGUGAA